rnacentral:rRNA from 1 species
GAUGACCGCUGGCGGCGUGCCUAAUACAUGAACGUCGAGCGCAGCGGGGACGGGUGAGUAACACGUGGAUCACCUCCUAUCAUUCUGGGAUACCUUCGGGAAACCCGCGCUAAACCGGAUACUUAUCGAUGGAUCCGCGCUGCAUUGUCUAGUUGGUACGGUAACGGCUUACCAAGUCAACGAUUCAUAGCCGACCUGAGAGGGUGUCCGGAGCCACUGAAACGGAUACACGGCCCAGACUCCUACGAGAGCAAGCAGUAGGGAAUCUUCCGAAAUGGGCGAAAGCACGACGGAGCAACGCCGCGUGUGUGAUGAGGGGCUGCGGAUCGGAAAACUCUGGUAGUAGGGAAGCGGUACCUAAUCAGAAAGCCACGGCUAACUACGUGCGAGCAGCCGCGGUAAUUC